UGAGGAAUAUUGGUCAAUGGGCGGGAGCCUGAACCAGCCAAGUCGCGUGAGGGAAGACGGUCCUACGGAUUGUAAACCUCUUUAGCGGGGGAGCAAAACGGCCUUGCGAGGCCUCAUGCGAGCGUACCCCGAGAAUAAGCAUCGGCUAACUCCGUGCCAGCAGCCGCGGUAAUACGGAGGAUGCGAGCGUUAUCCGGAUUUAUUGGGUUUAAAGGGUGCGUAGGCGGAGUGGUAAGUCAGCGGUAAAAAUUCGGGGCUCAACCCCGUAGUGCCGUUGAAACUGCCGUUCUAGAGUGGGCGAGAAGUAUGCGGAAUGCGUGGUGUAGCGGUGAAAUGCAUAGAUAUCACGCAGAACCCCGAUUGCGAAGGCAGCAUACCGGCGCCCUACUGACGCUGAGGCACGAAAGCGUGGGUAUCAAACAGG
rnacentral:rRNA from 1 species